GAUGAACGCUGGCGGCGUGCCUAAUACAUGCAAGUCGAGCGAACAGACGAGGUGCUUGCUCCUCUGACGUUAGCGGCGGACGGGUGAGUAACACGUGGAUAACCUACCUAUAAGACUGGGAUAACUUCGGGAAACCGGAGCUAAUACCGGAUAAUAUAUUGAACCGCAUGGUUCAAUAGUGAAAGACGGUUUUGCUGUCACUUAUAGAUGGAUCCGCGCCGCAUUAGCUAGUUGGUAAGGUAACGGCUUACCAAGGCAACGAUGCGUAGCCGACCUGAGAGGGUGAUCGGCCACACUGGAACUGAGACACGGUCCAGACUCCUACGGGAGGCAGCAGUAGGGAAUCUUCCGCAAUGGGCGAAAGCUUGACGGAGCAACGCCGCGUGAGUGAUGAAGGUCUUCGGAUCGUAAAACUCUGUUAUUAGGGAAGAACAAAUGUGUAAGUAACUAUGCACGUCUUGACGGUACCUAAUCAGAAAGCCACGGCUAACUACGUG
rnacentral:rRNA from 1 species